UCCUUGGUAGUUUAGUCGGUGGAGCGUUUGGCUUUCAAAAAAUCGUAAGAAGUCGGCCAAAAAGUCCAGGGUUCGAGCCCUUGAUAAAGAU
rnacentral:tRNA from 1 species